rnacentral:misc_RNA from 1 species
ACUUUAUGAGGAACCGUGCUAAAGGAGUCAAAUAAUUUGGUGAAACUAUGAACAGUCAGCGUUAUGUUGCCUGUGUCUUGAACAUCUUAAUUCUCUUUAAAUGUGCAGAAUGUUGGUUUGGAAAGAAGCCUGCCAAUAAGAAAUGUUUGUUCGAACCAUGCAAAGACUAUUGCCGGAACGGAGGAACGUGUACCCAGGACGAUUCAACGUGUAGUCCCCUCAAAUGUGACUGUCCGCCGGGGUUCACUGGAAGACGAUGUGAGGAGACACUAGGAGAAACCACGGUGUCCGUGACUGCCCAGUCCACUAGGGAUGGGUGUCCACUGAGAGCGCUGGAGGAUCGCCUGUGUUACCCAUUCCCUUGUAUACACGGACACUGCAACAGCACGGGCGGACGACGGAGGUGUGUCUGUGAUAAAAACUGGACGGGGGACAGGUGCUCCCUGCUGGACUGUUCCUCCUGUGGAACAGGUGUGUCCUGUCAGCAGACAUCUUGUGGCGAGAUAACAUGUGAUACCCCGAGUACAACAAGGGAGGAAACGGUACAAACUACGAGUCCUCCGGAUGGAAUGGUCCUACGGCCGCUGAUAGAACGGCUGUGUGCGCCGACAUUUGAGUGUAUUCACGGAGUAUGCAAAAACAGCGGGAUCAGCUGUGACUGUGACGAUGGAUACACCGGGUUAUUCUGUUCCGAAAGGCUGGCCACCACGACACAAACAACAGAAGAAGAAAAAGAUGAAAAAGACAUGAGAGAUGUGUGUUCCGUAGAUUACUCGCUCCGACCGCUCUCUGAGAGACAGUGCCAGGGCUCCCUCACGUGUAAGUACGGGGUCUGUGUAGAAGAAGCCGGGGAGUCACCGGCACGUGUGAGAUACUCCUGUGGUUGUGACCAGCGGGCUAGUGGUCAGCAGUGCGAACACCGGUGUUGCCGUGACUGUGGAGAGCACGGGGAGUGUGUUCUCAGUAACGGACAGGAGCUCUGUAGCUGUCAGUACGGAUUCGUGGGCAAAAUCUGCAACGAAACGAUACUGGAGAGUGACGUGGAGGAGCAGGUGUCCGGGGGCUCCAGUAAUUGGUACGCCUGGAUGUUGGGGGUAUGCGCUCUGAUUCUGGUCGUCCUGUUGGUGACCGUGGUCAUCAUUCCUUAUCUAUUGUGGCGCAGAGGAUUCAUUCUUAUAAUGAAAAUUGUUCAUUAUCUCCAACCCACGGAGGACAACGAUGAGACUAUGUAUGACGCCCUGAUAGCGUACAGUGCUGAAUCAGACAGGGACGCCACGGUGGCCACAGACGUCAUAUAUCCAUAUCUACGUCAUCAGUGUGGGUUCAAAGUCAAGUUACGGGGAAACCAAAAAGGUAACUUUUCAUGUCUUAUUCUGUUUUUACUUUGUAAUAACCGCUAUUAUAAGGGUUAUUUAAAGAAUGCAUGUCUCAAUUCCCCUUAACAACGCUCUUAUAUUAAUUUAACCAGAUAAAAUUCAAAAUUAAAAAUUUCAAUAGUUUUGAUUUUAUCUCUGUUUAAGCUAUUUUAACCAAAGCACAUCGUCUUUUUCUGUUUUUAGCAUCUGAGGACGACAAUGGUGCUAUCCAAAAAUGUCAUAGACUUGUUUUGUUGGUAUCUAGUGAUUUUAUUUACCGGGAAUGGCCAUUGCUUUCUAGUGAAAUAUCCGAGGAAAGUUUUGAUAGAAUGAGAAAGCGAAUUGUUCCAAUAUUUUUUGGGGAAGCUAGUAAACUUUGUUACUCCGCAGAUAAACGUUUUCAAGAUCUUGUUUCAAAAAGCGUGUUUAUCACGUGGUCGGGUCUAGAAAAGGACAAAACGAAGAACUUGACCCGAGUGAAAUAUUCACUGCCGAAGAAGACAAGAUUCCCCAAGGAAACAGCAGACAAGGAACCGGAUCGGAAGGAGAAUCCUGACGAUUCAGGAUUACAGAAAGACCCUGAAAACGGAACAAUUCAUAGCAAUGGCGGGAACCAUUUGCUCUGGAAGGACAAAACUGACUUCCUGCAAUCUGUAGAUUUCAACCAUAACCCUUAUAACAUGCCAUAUUUCAAAGGGAACUAGCUCAUCACGGAGAUAUAUUUUUAAAAUGUUAUAAUAACAUUUGAUUAAAUUCGAUGCAUUGACUGAUUUGGUGCCAAUAAAAAUU